UGCUUACAAGCAGCUGUAUGUCAAACACGAAGCUCUCCAGCUGAUCACACCACAGUUUGAAACCCCUCUGCCUCCGCUGCAGCCUGCCGUGAGUCUGUUUGCAAACGCACAUUAGCUUAGAGUUUAUUUGUUACCACAAGACAAAAAGAAAAAAUGUAACCAAACCAAACGCUGUCUGUCUCUGAUGCAACUUUUCUAUUCUGCUGAUGCAACCAAGGCUGCAUGGGUGGAGAAGUGCAAUUAUAACUCAAUAACCCCUUGGCUAACUGCUAGCUGGUCAGACUAGUUCACAGGACAUCAUCCCUGCAGUACUCUAUGCUGGAUCAAAUACUUUCAUUAUUAUUUGCCUUGAUUUUCCUGCAUUAUUCCAUGCUAAAUGUAGUACAUAGUUCACAACUAGUUUGCUUUCUUGUUUAUGGGUCUGUUUGUAGAGGCUUUGUUUUGUGUUCAGGUCUUUCAGCCGGCCUUCAGGGACCUUCCGCCUCCCAUGCUUGACCUUUUUGACCUUGAUGAGACAUUUUCUUCUGAGAAAGUGAGGCUGGCUCAGCUCUCAAAUAAAUGUACCGACGAUGAUCUGGAGUUUUAUGUACGUAAAUGUGGAGACAUCUUAGGAGUGACAGGGAAGUUAGACAAGGACAAACGAGAUGCCAAGCACAUACUGGAACACAUCUUCUUCCAGGUGGUGGAGUUUAAGAAAAUCAAUCAAGAGCACGAUAUUGACACCACAGAAGCAAGGUUCAACGUGUAUUGAAGUAGACAGGCCGUGGAUCUCUGGAGUUUUGCAGCAAGGACUUGUUUUUGAGAUCUGUGUGAAUAUACACAGUCUAGACACUCAAACUGUGCUUUACUUCCAGUACGAGAAAAGUCAAGAGUGCUUUGUCAGAACUUCCUCAGGCAUAUGGUUUAAAGAAUCCACUACAUUUCUUGUAACAAGGUUCUUUUUUUUUUUUUUAUAUAAAUAUGAGCUUAGUUGUCUCACGUUGGAGCAUUUGUAUACAUACACAUUGGGGUCCAAAUCCCGUGUUUGAGAUUGAUAUUUUGGAUCACGCACUGCUUUACGUCACUGAAAAAAAAUAAAAUAAAAUCCGGCACUUAAUGAAAAAGGUGAUGCUCUCAUGUUUCACUGAUGCAGGACCUCGAGAAAGUACAGUAUACACUAAAUAUCCUUUUAUUUCUAGGUUGAUGUGAGCCAGUCAGCUGAACCUAAAUGCCAGGGCUGUCCAAACCUGUUCCUGGAGGCCCGCUGUCCUGCGGAGUUUAGCUUAAACCCCAAUUAAACACAACUGAUCAAAAUAAUAGGCUUCAGGCUCACUAGAAACUUCCAGGCAAGUGUGCUGGAGCUAAAAUCUGCGGGACGUUGGCCCUCAGAGAGCAGGAUUGAACACCCCAGAGUCCCAGGACCACAGCAGCAGACAGAGAUUAAUAUAGAAGCAUUUUCACUUGCGGUCUCAGUUAUAUUCACCCUCUAUUGUCACUGUAUUCUUCGGCCCACAUUUCCACGGUGGAUGAAGUAAUUGCACAUUCUGAAACAUGUUAUUGAUCAAUCAAAGAGACAUCGGUUUGAGUAGACUCUGUGACAUUAAUGAAUGCAAGUCAUUUCAACGCGCUUUAUUUUUUGAUUAAAUACAUUUCUCUUAGUAGUAAGAAUCACAGUAAGAAGCCUGUAAAAUAAAGAGGCAUAUUAGAACAAACCAAGUUUUUCCAGGCUUAGCGUUAGUGCACAUACACACCUCAAAUAUGGUGUCUGUCAAAUGGCCAAGUUAGAUGAGCUCUGUCCCUCUCGGGGAUCUGGGAUUGCAGGAACCUGACUAGAUCCCUGCCGGACCAUUUCCCUCCACGAGCGCUGGAGCUCCUCUGAAACGUUCGGGUGAGGUGACCUUCCUGACGACACCAGAGAGGCCUCAGGGGGGGCCGACAGGUUAAUAGGACUCCAUGUGGACUCCAGACAUGACUUUGGGCUCUCAACUACGGCCUUCACAAAGGACACUUCCCACGACGGGUGAGUGGCGGUCAAAUCUACGCAGGACAGGUCCAGCGAGCUGGCCAGGACGGGUUUCUGACACUGGACUCUCUCGUAGGGCGUGGAGGACUUGCCUUGCACUGGACUGCCCAGCGCUGUGCUCAGGCUGCUGCCAGGAGACAGGACGUUCCUGUUGAGGGCAACUAAAGGAGAUGAAAUGCUCGUGGAGUAGUUCAGACAGGGUGCAACAGCACAGCUGGGCUCUGGAUACUCCAGCACAAUGCCUUUGUUUGGUCUCAGGAAGCCAUCGGCUGAAACCGCUGAUAGAGACAGACUGUGGUCCGCACAAAAGCCUCUGUCGAAGUCAGACAGCGACGGGCCCUCAUAGCUCCGGGCGAGCUCUAGAAAAUAAACAGUGUUUAGUAUAAGAGACAGGUAUAUGUUUAUGUAUACAGGUGAUCUACAAU
rnacentral:lncRNA from 1 species